rnacentral:rRNA from 1 species
CCUACGGGAGGCUGCAGUGAGGAAUAUUGGUCAAUGGCCGGAAGGCUGAACCAGCCAUGCCGCGUGAAGGUCAGUGCCCUAUGGGCGUUAAACUUCUUUUGUGCGGGAGCAAUAAUGGUCACGUGUGGCCAGACGAGAGUACCGUACGAAUAAGCAUCGGCUAACUCUGUGCCAGCAGCCGCGGUAAUACGGGGGAUGCAAGCGUUAUCCGGGUUUAUUGGGUUUAAAGGGUGCGUAGGCUGGGAGGUAAGUCAGCGGUGAAAUGCCCCCGCUCCACGGGGUGAAGUGCCAUUGAUACUGCCUGGCUGGAAUGCGGAUGCCGUGGGAGGAAUGUGUGGUGUAGCGGUGAAAUGCAUAGAUAUCACACAGAACACCGAUUGCGAAGGCAUCUCACGAAUCCGCGAUUGACGCUGAUGCACGAAAGCGUGGGUAUCAAACAGGAUUAGAUACCCGGGUAGUC